rnacentral:rRNA from 1 species
CGACCUCAGAGUAGGUGAGACUACCCGCUGAUUUA